GAUGAAGAACGCAGUGAAAUGCGAUACGUAAUGUGAAUUGCAGAAUUCAGUGAAUCAUCGAAUCUUUGAACGCACAUUGCGCCUGCCAGCACUCUGGCAGGCAUGCCUGUUCGAGCGUCAUUUCAACCAUCAAGCCCUAGGCUUGCGUUGGAGCCCUGCGGCUGCCGCAGGCCCCUAAAAGCAGUGGCGGGCUCGCUAUCACACCGAGUGCAGUAGAUUACUCUUCGCUCAGGGCGUGUGGCGGGAUCCAGCCGUGAAACCCCCUACUUCUCAAGGUUGACCUCGGAUCAGGUAGGAAUACCCGCUGAACUUAAGCAUAUCAAUAAGCGGAGGA
rnacentral:misc_RNA from 1 species